GCUGGGAACUGAAAGGACAGGGUCCAGCUUCAGCACGGGGCAUACAGGCUAUGAUGGACAACAAAGCCAUGUACCUGCAUACUGUGAGUGACCGUGACAACGGCUCCAUCUUUGAGGAACCCUUUGAUGGCAGGAGCCUGUCCAAACUGAACCUGUGUGAGGAUGGUCCAUGUCACAAGCGGCGGGCGGGUGGCUGCUGCACACAGCUGGGCUCCCUGUCAGCGCUGAAGCAUGCGGUCCUGGGGCUGUAUCUUCUGGUCUUCCUGACUCUUGUGGGUGUCUUCAUCUUAGCAGUGUCCCGGCCUCGCAGCUCCCCAGAUGACUUGAAGGCGCUGACUAGGAACAUCAACCGGCUGAAUGAAAGCUUCCGGGACAUGCAGCUACGGCUGCUGCAGGCUCCGUUGCAGGCAGACCUGACGGAACAGGUGUGGAAGGUUCAGGAUGCACUGCAGAACCAGACAGACUCACUGUUGGCCCUGGCAGGCUUGGUGCAGAGACUGGAGGGCACACUGUGGGGGCUGCACGCGCAGGCUGCACAGACUGAGCAGGCGGUGGCCCUGCUGCGUGACCGAACAGGACAGCAGAGCGACUCCGCACAGCUGGAACUCUACCAGUUGCAGGUGGAAAGCAAUCGAAGCCAGCUGCUGCUGCAGCGGCACGCAGGCCUGCUGGAUGGGCUAGCACACAGGGUGGGGGUCCUGGGCGAGGAGCUGGCUGAUGUGGGUGGUGCACUUCGUGGCCUCAACCACAGCCUAUCCUAUGACGUGGCUCUGCACAGCACGUGGCUACAGGACCUGCAGGUGCUGGUGAGCAAUGCCAGCGCAGACACACGCCGUAUGAGGCUGGUGCACAUGGACAUGGAGAUGCAACUCAAGCAGGAGCUGGCCACACUCAAUGUGGUGACUGAGGACCUGCGUCUGAAGGACUGGGAGCACUCCAUCGCCCUGAGGAACAUCACCCUUGCCAAAGGACCACCAGGACCCAAAGGUGACCAAGGGAAUGAAGGGAAGGAGGGAAAGCCAGGUAGCCCUGGACUUCCUGGAUCUCGAGGU
rnacentral:lncRNA from 1 species